UGGACCAUGGUCAGGCUGUCCAGAUUGGGGCAGCAUCACAUUCAACCCUAAGACCAUUCCAUGCAUUCACAUGCACUCCCAAACACACCAAUUGACCACUUUAAACAUCAAUUUAGUCAAUUGACAUCAAUUCACGAAAUUUCCCUAAUUUUCCCCCAAAACCAUAAGUCAAGAACCCUAAUUCACCACUUGCUUCUAUUCAUGAAAUCAAAGUGCACAAUUCAUAUCUACACACUCAAUCGAACUUGUGUACAUGAUUUAUUAAACCAAAACACAUCAUCUCUACCCAAAUCCCAUGGUUGCUGAAAUUUACUAUGUCCCUAAACUUAUCAUUUUUGUUUCAUUUUCAUCAAAUUCUCAUUCACUUCAAGUGUCUAUUCAUGAAUAUAAAGAGAAUUUAGAAGAUUCAUG
rnacentral:misc_RNA from 1 species